UUUUUCUUACUGUGCUUUGAAGAACACUCCUGUUCUCUUGUGCACCUUUGGGUCAACUGAUAGAUCAAGACGUCAACAGUCUUUGGUUUGGCUUGAACUGUGACAAACAUGUCAGAGAAGCCUUGGAGCUGUAGGAGAGAACAGGACAAAGAGGAUAGCUUUUCACAGAAAUGUCCUCGAUUCGAGAUGUGAAACUGAGGUGCUUCACA